UGCCCAGCAACUCCUAUACCUACCUCCUCGUGGUACUGGCCGGGGUACGAGCAACCUUAGACAAGAUCAGGUAAGGG
rnacentral:ribozyme from 1 species